CCUCACGGAACCCUAAAAGCUGGCUAAGGGGCCAUUCUCCUCGCCACCUGGGCCUGCGUCUGCCGAAUCGCUUCCUAAGGACUUUGACUAGAAACCAAAGGUCCCAUUUUUCAUCUGCCAUUUAUUUAUCAUUGCAUAACUUAGUGAAAGCAUAUUGACUUUCCUGACUUCUUAUGACCACAUUUGAGGAAAGGAGUAAGCACUGGAAUCACCAACACAGCAUGCUUACGGAGGGUGGUCACCAGCUUCAUCAGCCUCCCAAUUCCACGGAGCCCCUUGAAAAUCCAGGAGCGCAGACUGGCAACAGUAGAGAUUUAAUAGUGGAGCCUUCUAAGGAUGGAUCAAACAAUGUCAGUUCUUUGGGACUGAGGCUUUGAAUGAGCUCCAGCUCUGUUCUGAUCCUUUAAUACUGGAAUGCAGUUGUUAUUUUUCUAGGCUAUUGCUGAGCUGAAGAGUGGGAGAUGGGCCUAAGGAGUUUACUGGAGGUUAUACUCCAGUCAAAGAAGAUGGAAACCAAGAAAGGACACAUUUUGGAGAUUAGCACUGGCUCCAGGAACCCAGUGAACAGAAGACUCAGGCUGAAGGCUUGUGCAUUCAGCCCAGAGAAAAUCCACUUAAAUUCAGAACAAUUAAGGACUCUGGGGAAGAAGGACUUCACAUGGUAGUGUGAUUGGAAGGCAGAUAAAUUUUAGGACACAAUGGAAGUUCCUAAGAUUUUUUAUCCUUUUCCAAUAGGAAGGAUAAAAAAAUCAUCUAAAACUAGAGGAAAAAUCAUCUAAAACAAGGUAUAAAGAAAUGGCUCACGUGUGACCCUUAUUUUACUGUGACAUGGAGCAUUUGAUGAAGGAUGUGGGAAGGGAGCCUGCUUAACUAUGAAGUGAGUAGCAUCGCCCCAGGAGCACCAUGACAGAUGCACAGGACAUGGAGGGAAGGAAAUGGCAUCCUGGCACAGCCCUGGCUCUACAUUGAGCAAUGUAGACAAAAUCAUAAAGGCUGCUCUAGUUUUCUACUUUUAGAAUCAACCUACAGACAUGUAAGACUUAAUUGUAGUUGUAGAAUAAAAGAUAAAAGAUUAUUGGCUUUCAUAACAAUAAAGUCCUAACAAUGA
ensembl:lncRNA LINC00327 long intergenic non-protein coding RNA 327